GUUAGCUAUAAGAUGAGAGCUCUCCUCCUUCUCUUCUGCUAGAGGCGGAAAACCUUAUCUCUAGGGUUUUGCUCGUCGAGAUCCUUGGCAUCCAAUGAGAUUUCUUCCCCUCGUGAAGCCUUUCUAUCGCCCUCCUCGAGGUCGUGCUUCCCUUCUGUUCAACAUGUGGGUUUGGAAUCCUGUUCUUAUUGGCUUGCCGUUUAAAACUUCAUGGCCGUGCUAGCUGGAAGAUCGUGUGUUUGAGGGUAUUUCUCCAAACAAGGUCUCUCUACGAUGCGGGUCUAUGGAAAAAAGAAGAAGAUCGAAUUUGGGAUCCUAGUUCUGCUUAUUCUCUUUCACGGGGAAGGUAGAGUUGUCGCAAUGGUGACCGGGUAUGCCCUCUAGUGGUAGCUGUGGACGGUGGAGGUCAGAAUGUUUUCCGAUCUGGGAGUUUGAUGGUGUUUAGUGGCAUGUGGUGGCUGGGUCUGAUCCAGUUUGGUUUGAUGGCGGCUAUUGUGCUUUGGGUUAGAUCUUCGGGGGCUGAUAGUGGCUCUGAGUCCUAGGUGGCGACAAUUAUUUGGAGAGGACGAAAGUCGUAGAUGCUGAUUGAGAUAGUGGACUCCGACGAUGGUGUGGCUCAGUAUGGCAGCGCCGGAAUGGUGAUUUGGGUGCCCUAAGCACUUUUUUCAAGGGCCUGGGCCUGGGCAUGUUUUCUGGUGUCAUAGGCUGCAUUAGGGCCUGUUGGUUUUGGAUGGGUUGUGUUAGUUAGGCCCGCUCACUUUUGGUCCCGUAUUUAGGACCCAGGUGGAUGGGGGCCUAAGAUUUUUGGGUUCUCAAUCUUUUGACUGUGUUUGGGUUCUUCUCUAGUAGCGUCAGGUUACUGGUUAAUUUAUUAUUAUUAUUUUGUUAAAAGGUUUGGAACCCAACCUAACUAGAAGUCUCAGCCUCACGUUUGGAAUUAUUAUUAAUAAUUGAAAGAUCAUUGUACAGCUUCACUCUACUAUAACAUUAUGUUAGAUGCU
rnacentral:lncRNA from 1 species